AUAAGGCCACAUCCGCUGUCUGCUGGCCUUACCCUAUGGCUACAUGUCUCAAUGGUUCAGAUAACCAUCCCUUCCUUUCCCUUUCAGGCCAAGGGACAUAACUGGCUGCCCACUGGUCAGCCUCCUGGGGCAGGCACAGAAGGGUGGAGGGAAGACCUCAUUAAAUAAAGACAUCCAGCACACCAAAACAGGCAGAAAGCAGACAUGAUAACGAGAUUGCCACCUAUUUACCUUCUUGUAACCAUAAGAAUGAGGGAAGCUUCAUUCCGACGGAGUUCGACCAAAAUAGAGAAGAAGUUGUAAGGGCAACCCUUGCAUAAAAAUAUCCACUCACCAACUGUUCACCAACUGUUCUUCCUCUUGCUGGCAUACCUUAUGCAGCAUCCUCAGAUGCCAGAGCGCGUUUCUGCUGCAGCCUCCACGAUGCCUGGGCUGAUAGCAAUCAGGUCCUGCUAUGCUUCUUUCAGGAAGAGCUGACCCCUGGAAUCUGGGCUAGACUUGCACUUGUUUUGGCCAUUGGAAUAUCAAGCUGACUUUUUGUGGGCUCUGGAGACUAGGACCUAAAAGGAGGAAUGUUGCCCCCUCAUCAUUAUGUAAAGAAGCUGGCGCAACCUGCUGGAGGAGAAUAUGCCACCUGGGGAAGAACUGAGGCACCCAGCCAACAUCCAGCACCCACCACUAGACAUGAAAACACUGGUCGGUUACUAAUGGAGAAGAAGAAAAAGCAGCAAAGACAACGAGUAUACUUGGGAUGCGAUCGCAUGCCUGGAGCAUCUGAGUAUUGGUUGGAAAGAGGUAAAUCAGGCACCAUUUCUCCAUGAUGUGUCAGGACCUGAAUCUGUCAUUUGCGAGCCUGACCUCAUAACUCAGCCAAGCCAAGCUGCAAGGCACCCUGGGAACCCAUCACUGAAAGACUGCAGAGGGAGGAAGGCAAGGGCAGGAAUAGCCAGCUGGUCAAGCAGCAGAGUGUCUCCUCAGCUCCCAGGAAAUGGUGUCUAAGGGUGAUGAUGAACUGGGACUUCAUCUGAGUCCAAAAUAAUGAUGCUGCUGAUGCAACAGCAGAACUUAUUAAACACUUACUACUGCAUAUGCCACUAUGAGGUAGACUUACAGAGAAUAAGUUACUCUCCCAUAAUCACACAGCCAGUAAAUGACAGAAAUGGGAUCCAAUCCAAAUAUGUUUCAUUCUAAAGCCCAUGCUCUUCACCAACAAAGCCCAACUUGAUUUAAUUUAUCCCCAAACAUACCAACAUCCAUUUGUUAGUUCCCUUCCCAAUUUAACUUUAAGCGUCUCACAUACAUACACUGUUUUUAUCCUAACAACAAGUUGGUGAGGAACUGAGCUCAGAGAGGUUAAUCCACCCACUGAAAGGCACCCAGUGUUUAAGAGCAGAGGGAGGGGCCUGACACAGGUCUUUCGGAGCAUGACAUGCAUGUUCUGUCCACAAGGCCUGUUGCUGCCUUUCCCCCAGAGGUCCAGACUGAGGACGGGACAGAGUAGAUAAAGACAGCAGUGUGAGAGGAGGCAGUGGGCAAUAUGGGGAAUCUAGGGGCAGCAGUAUGCUGGUCCCAUAUAAUCAGGCCCGGGGGAGGGGCCCAGACAGAGGGUGGCAGACUCUCUGUACUCCAGCAAGACAAUCCCAGAAGAAAUGCCAGAGAGAUCAAUGAGAAGGCCAGUCAUUUACACUGGGCACACACACAGUGUUUAGGGUACUCAGAUAGGUACCCAGGCCUCACCCCAGGCUGUUUGGACACCAGGAGUCAUAGCACUCUUCCAGGCCACAACUGCUACUUGGGGUGGGAGGAGAGGAUGAGACGUGGCAUUUGUGGAAUAAUGACUGUGGCCAAGCAGUGGGCUCUGUAUGAUGCCAUCGUCAAUUCUCACAGCAAUUCUACAACAUAGGUUUUGUUACUUCUCUCUCACGCUUUACCCUAAAUUUCUCCUGCCUACCACAGUGCUUGGCACACACAAACAGAAUAAUAAUGUGUGGAACUGACUAAUUCAUUUUCCAUUCUGCUGGUCAGGGAGAAAUUAAUAGAGGCAGAGGCUAUUAAUAAAACAUUAC
rnacentral:lncRNA from 1 species